rnacentral:rRNA from 1 species
GUGUCAGCAGCCGCGGUAAGACGAACCGUGCGAACGUUGUUCGGAUUCACUGGGCUUAAAGGGCGCGUAGGCGGCGGCUCAAGUCGGGGGUGAAAUCCUCUCGCUUAACGAGAGAAUUGCUUUCGAUACUGGGUCGCUGGAGGGAGAUAGGGGUGCGCGGAACUUCCGGUGGAGCGGUGAAAUGCGUAGAUAUCGGAAGGAACGCCGGUGGCGAAAGCGGCGCACUGGAUCUCUUCUGACGCUGAGGCGCGAAAGCCAGGGGAGCAAACGGGAUUAGAUACCCGGGUAGUCC